AUUGAACGCUGGCGGCAGGCCUAACACAUGCAAGUCGAGCGAGCGGCGGACGGGUGAGUAAUAUCUGGGAAACUGCCUGACCGAGGGGGAUAACUACUUGCAACGGUGGAUAAUUCCGCAUAACAUCGGAGGUGCUCAGUGGGGAUUAGCUAGUAUGGGGGGUAACGGCUCACCUAGGCGACGAUCCCUAGCUGGUCUGAGAGGAUGACCAGCCAGACUGGAACUGAGACACGGUCCAGACUCCUACGGUAGCCAGCAGUGGUGUAUAUGGCACAAUGGGCGCAAUCCUGAUGCAGCCCUGCCGCGUAUAUGACGAAGGCCUUCGGGUUGUAAAGUACUUUCAGCGGGGAGGCGUUACCCGCAGAAGAAGCACCGGCUAACUCCGUGCCAUCAGCCGCGGUAAUUC
rnacentral:rRNA from 1 species